UCGGACGUGGUGCACGGUGCGCACCCGCUCUCCUUGAAAGUCGAAAUACGGAGUAAGUGGGAGCCCUGGGUUCGACUCCCAGCGUCCGAA